rnacentral:rRNA from 1 species
UACAGAGGGGGCAAGCGUUGUUCGGAAUUACUGGGCGUAAAGGGCGCGUAGGCGGCCUUCUAAGUCGAACGUGAAAUCCCCGGGCUCAACCCGGGAACUGCGUCCGAGACUGGAAGGCUUGAAUCCGGGAGAGGGAUGUGGAAUUCCAGGUGUAGCGGUGAAAUGCGUAGAUAUCUGGAGGAACAUCGGUGGCGAAGGCGGCAUCCUGGACCGGCAUUGACGCUGAGGAGCGAAAGCCAGGGGAGCAAACGGG